GCUGGGCAGGGUGAAGGUGUGUGGCGUGUGCCUGUAGUCCCAGCUACUCAGGAGGCUAGGUGGGAAGAUCACUUAAGCCCAGGAGUUCUGGGCUGUAGUAUGCCGAUCAGGUGUCCACACUAAGUUCGGCAUCAACAUGGUGACCUCCCAGGAGCAGGGAACCACCACCAGGUUGCCUAAGGAGGGGUGAACUGGCCCAGGUUGGAAACGGAGCAUGUUAAAACUCCAGUGCUGAUCAGUAGUGGGAUUGCGCCUGUGAAUAGCCACUGCCCUCCAGCCUGGGCAACAUAGUGAGACCCCUGUCUCU
ensembl:misc_RNA Metazoa_SRP Metazoan signal recognition particle RNA